UUCUGCGAAGGUGUGCUGUGAGGCAUGCUGGAGGUAUCAGAAGUGCGAAUGCUGACAUAAGUAACGAUAAAGCGGGUGAAAAGCCCGCUCGCCGGAAGACCAAGGGUUCCUGUCCAACGUUAAUCGGGGCAGGGUGAGUCGACCCCUAAGGCGAGGCCGAAAGGCGUAGUCGAUGGGAAACAGGUUAAUAUUCCUGUACUUGGUGUUACUGCGAAGGGGGGACGGAGAAGGCUAUGUUGGCCGGGCGACGGUUGUCCCGGUUUAAGCGUGUAGGCUGGUUUUCCAGGCAAAUCCGGAAAAUCAAGGCUGAGGCGUGAUGACGAGGUACUACGGUGCUGAAGCAACAAAUGCCCUGCUUCCAGGAAAAGCCUCUAAGCAUCAGGUAACAUCAAAUCGUACCCCAAACCGACACAGGUGGUCAGGUAGAGAAUACCAAGGCGCUCGAGAGAACUCGGGUGAAGGAACUAGGCAAAAUGGUGCCGUAACUUCGGGAGAAGGCACGCUGAUAUGUAGGUGAGGUCCCUCGCGGAUGGAGCUGAAAUCAGUCGAAGAUACCAGCUGGCUGCAACUGUUUAUUAAAAACACAGCACUGUGCAAACACGAAAGUGGACGUAUACGGUGUGACGCCUGCCCGGUGCCGGAAGGUUAAUUGAUGGGGUUAGCGCAAGCGAAGCUCUUGAUCGAAGCCCCGGUAAACGGCGGCCGUGACAAUAACGGUCCUAAGGUAGCGAAAUUCCUUGUCGGGUAAGUUCCGACCUGCACGAAUGGCGUAAUGAUGGCCAGGCUGUCUCCACCCGAGACUCAGUGAAAUUGAACUCGCUGUGAAGAUGCAGUGUACCCGCGGCAAGACGGAAAGACCCCGUGAACCUUUACUAUAGCUUGACACUGAACAUUGAGCCUUGAUGUGUAGGAUAGGUGGGAGGCUUUGAAGUGUGGACGCCAGUCUGCAUGGAGCCGACCUUGAAAUACCACCCUUUAAUGUUUGAUGUUCUAACGUUGACCCGUAAUCCGGGUUGCGGACAGUGUCUGGUGGGUAGUUUGACUGGGGCGGUCUCCUCCUAAAGAGUAACGGAGGAGCACGAAGGUUGGCUAAUCCUGGUCGGACAUCAGGAGGUUAGUGCAAUGGCAUAAGCCAGCUUGACUGCGAGCGUGACGGCGCGAGCAGGUGCGAAAGCAGGUCAUAGUGAUCCGGUGGUUCUGAAUGGAAGGGCCAUCGCUCAACGGAUAAAAGGUACUCCGCGGAUAACAGGCUGAUACCGCCCAAGAGUUCAUAUCGACGGCGGUGUUUGGCACCUCGAUGUCGGCUCAUCACAUCCUGGGGCUGAAGUAGGUCCCAAGGAUAUGGCUGUUCGCCAUUUAAAGUGGUACGCGAGCUGGGUUUAGAACGUCGUGAGACAGUUCGGUCCCUAUCUGCCGUGGGCGCUGGAGAACUGAGGGGGGGCUGCUCCCAGUACGAGAGGACCGGAGUGGACGCAUCACUGGUGUUCGGGUUGUCAUGCCAAUGGCACUGCCCGGUAGCUAAAUGCGGAAGAGAUAAAUGCUGGAAGCAUCUAAGCACGAAACUUGCCCCGAGAUGAGUUCUCCCUGACCCUUUAAGGGUCCUGAAGGAACGUUGAAGACGACGACGUUGAUAGGCCGGGUGUGUAAGCGCAGCGAUGCGUUGAGCUAACCGGUACUAAUGAACCGUGAGGCUU
rnacentral:rRNA from 1 species